CAGCAGCCACGGGAAUACGUAGGUGGCAAGCGUUGUCCGGAAUUAUUGGGCGUAAAGGGCUCGCAGGCGGUUUCUUAAGUCUGAUGUGAAAGCCCCCGGCUCAACCGGGGAGGGUCAUUGGAAACUGGGAAACUUGAGUGCAGAAGAGGAGAGUGGAAUCCCACGUGUAGCGGUGAAAUGCGUAGAGAUGUGGAGGAACACCAGUGGCGAAGGCGACUCUCUGGUCUGUAACUGACGCUGAGGAGCGAAAGCGUGGGGAGCGAACAGGAUUAGAUACCCCCGUAGUCCCUGUCUCUUAUAC
rnacentral:rRNA from 1 species